GAUGGAAGAACGUAGUGAAAUGCGAUACUUGGUGUGAAUUGCAGAAUCCCGUGAACCAUCGAGUCUUUGAACGCAAGUUGCGCCCGAAGCCUCGGCUAAGGGCACGUCUGCCUGGGCGUCACGCAUCGCGUCUCCCCCAAACCGCCAAGGCGGAGGGGAAGGAAGAUGGCUUCCCGUGCCUCACCCGGCGCGGUUGGCCUAAAUUUGGAGCCCGCGGCACUUAGCUCUCGCGGCGAUAGGUGGUGAACAAGGCCUUGGCCGUGCAAACAACCCGCUGCGAAGCUCUAUGUCACGUGCGCUCGUCGGACCCUUUGAAGUUGCCUUCGGUGACUUAAAACCUUUGCGACCCCAGGUCAGGCGGGGCUACCCGCUGAAUUUAAGCAUAUCAAUAAGCGGAGGA
rnacentral:misc_RNA from 1 species